rnacentral:rRNA from 1 species
UACGGAGGAUGCGAGCGUUAUCCGGAUUUAUUGGGUUUAAAGGGUGCGUAGGCGGGAUGUCAAGUCAGCGGUAAAAUUGUGGAGCUCAACUCCAUCGAGCCGUUGAAACUGACGUUCUUGAGUGGGCGAGAAGUAUGCGGAAUGCGUGGUGUAGCGGUGAAAUGCAUAGAUAUCACGCAGAACUCCGAUUGCGAAGGCAGCAUACCGGCGCCCGACUGACGCUGAAGCACGAAAGCGUGGGUAUCGAACAGGAUUAGAUACCCGAGUAGU